CAUACAUAUACACACAUACACUCACACUUUCCUGCAGCUAAAAAAGCCAGGGGAGCCUGCUCCUGGGAGACAGGACACCUUGCAGAAAUCCAGCAGAUGCAGCCGGGGCUCCUUUCUAACAAAUCCUAAAGGGCAGCCAUCUUGCUUCCUUCUGCUCCUCUACGAAAGCAGCCUAGCCUCCGCAUCAAUAUUCAUAAGAAAGAAUGAUCUUGGGAUUGGGAAGAAUAGAACCAAACAGGUUAAAAGGGUGAGAAGAAACUAAAAGAAUACCUGGUUGGCCUCAAUGAGAUAAAUUCACCAACAUCAGAUGAACUUCAUCUUAGGGUCUGAAAAAAAUGAAGAGAGGAGAUUGUUGGGAGAUGUCAAGAAGCUCUCAAUAAACUUUGAAAAAUCAAGGAGAGCACAAGAGAUUCUGUAGAGUUUCUCAUUGACAAAUGUUGUCCUGAUUCACAUGGAAGAGAGUAGAGAUCUGCUUUAUCACAUCUAGCCAUCUACUGGGACAUCAAGGCUUAGCCAGUGGGUAUUUAUCCAUCUCUCUUGCUAUCACCCUAUAAUUCUCUCUGCCCCAAUUUUUACCUAUUGCUCAGGGAACCAUAUUCAAAUCAAUAUUAUGAUUGCAUCUGGAAUGGACAUGCCAAUCUAUUGUCCUGUGACUUUACUUACAAUCCAUGUGACUGUUUAGAACAAAGUUUCUUUCUGUUGCUACCACUUCCUGAUUUGUAUUAUAGUUGUAUUUCCAGGGAAAAUAUAUAUAAAUAAAUCAUAUAUAUCACCGCUGUGUGCCCUACAUAAACUGUGCACCCAAACUCCAAAAUGAGCCCAGUUUCAGACUGGCUCCCUUGGGAAGCCCAGUUUUGGACUGCAGUUCCCAUGUAUGUGUGCCACCAGCUUCAAG